GCUUCAUUCUUGGCAUUAUAAUCAAUAAUUACAAAUACACCUUUUACUUUACAGAUGACAAUGUGAAGGCAAGAAAGCGAGCAAGCCAAUUCGCCCCAAACAAAAAAGUGUCCCAUGCAUGAUAUUGUGCUCCUAUUUAUAGUGUCGUGGGGUACAUCUUCAUCAAAAUUACAAUUACGAUCUUAAGUCUAUACAUAUGAACUAUAAAGAUGAUUAGGGGUAUUAUCGUAUUUUUCUUUGAUAACCUUGUGGAACAAGUCUUAGGGGUCUCGCUCUUCUCUUGUUAGCUUCUUCGUUGUAGGCGCAUGGCGUAGAUCUGAUGCUUAUAGCUUCGCCUUUGCGGUCGUGAUCAUGGCUAACCAUCUCCGAACGAAGGUUUCCUUCGGCAUUUACACAGUUAUACCUAAAACAAACUUAAGAAUUAUUGGUUGAUUAGUAUUUCGAGG
rnacentral:lncRNA from 7 species